CAGAGUUACUAAACUCCCAAACCCAUGUGAACUUACCUAUGUUGCCUCGGCGGUUACCUACCCUGUAGCUACCCUGUAGUUACCCGGUAGCGGCCGCCGGUGGACCUCCAAACUCUUGUUUUAAUAUGGUUAUUCUGAGUUAUUACUAUAAUAAGUUA
rnacentral:misc_RNA from 1 species